GGGAGCCUGAUUUUCUUGAAGCAUGAAUUGGAAAAUAGAUCUAUAUAUACUCACUGUUACAACAGAUGGGGAUCACCUCAUACCAAAAUCAUCAAGGUUUCUGCUAAGUUUGAGGAAAGCACUUUCUGUUCCCUGAGAAGCUGAGAAGAGAGUAUGUAUAAAAUCUCAGGAGGAAAAUAAAGCCUACUUUCUUUUCCCAUUCAACUUCGGGCCAGCUCAGAGAAGAUCUAAUUAAACCUUUGUAUUUUCAACACUUGUCUGAACUGAACUCAAAUUUUGAAGUUUGCUCCUUAUUUUUUCAAACUGAAAUCUAAUUUAUGUUUUAUACUC